rnacentral:tRNA from 1 species
GCUCAGGUGGUGAAAUUGGCAGACACGCUGUCUUCAGGCGGCAGUGUCGAAAGACAUAGGGGUUCGAAUCCCCUCCUGAGCACCA